rnacentral:rRNA from 1 species
GAUGAACGCUGACGGCGUGCCUAAUACAUGCAAGUCGAGCGAACGGACGAGAAGCUUGCUUCUCUGAUGUUAGCGGCGGACGGGUGAGUAACACGUGGAUAACCUACCUAUAAGACUGGGAUAACUUCGGGAAACCGGAGCUAAUACCGGAUAAUAUUUUGAACCGCAUGGUUCAAAAGUGAAAGACGGUCUUGCUGUCACUUAUAGAUGGAUCCGCGCUGCAUUAGCUAGUUGGUAAGGUAACGGCUUACCAAGGCAACGAUGCAUAGCCGACCUGAGAGGGUGAUCGGCCACACUGGAACUGAGACACGGUCCAGACUCCUACGGGAGGCAGCAGUAGGGAAUCUUCCGCAAUGGGCGAAAGCCUGACGGAGCAACGCCGCGUGAGUGAUGAAGGUCUUCGGAUCGUAAAACUCUGUUAUUAGGGAAGAACAUAUGUGUAAGUAACUGUGCACAUCUUGACGGUACCUAAUCAGAAAGCCACGGCUAACUACGUGCCAGCAGCCGCGGUAAUACGUAGGUGGCAAGCGUUAUCCGGAAUUAUUGGGCGUAAAGCGCGCGUAGGCGGUUUUUUAAGUCUGAUGUGAAAGCCCACGGCUCAACCGUGGAGGGUCAUUGGAAACUGGAAAACUUGAGUGCAGAAGAGGAAAGUGGAAUUCCAUGUGUAGCGGUGAAAUGCGCAGAGAUAUGGAGGAACACCAGUGGCGAAGGCGACUUUCUGGUCUGUAACUGACGCUGAUGUGCGAAAGCGUGGGGAUCAAACAGGAUUAGAUACCCUGGUAGUCCACGCCGUAAACGAUGAGUGCUAAGUGUUAGGGGGUUUCCGCCCCUUAGUGCUGCAGCUAACGCAUUAAGCACUCCGCCUGGGGAGUACGACCGCAAGGUUGAAACUCAAAGGAAUUGACGGGGACCCGCACAAGCGGUGGAGCAUGUGGUUUAAUUCGAAGCAACACGAAGAACCUUACCAAAUCUUGACAUCCUUUGACAACUCUAGAGAUAGAGCUUUCCCCUUCGGGGGACAAAGUGACAGGUGGUGCAUGGUUGUCGUCAGCUCGUGUCGUGAGAUGUUGGGUUAAGUCCCGCAACGAGCGCAACCCUUAAGCUUAGUUGCCAUCAUUAAGUUGGGCACUCUAAGUUGACUGCCGGUGACAAACCGGAGGAAGGUGGGGAUGACGUCAAAUCAUCAUGCCCCUUAUGAUUUGGGCUACACACGUGCUACAAUGGACAAUACAAAGGGCAGCGAAACCGCGAGGUCAAGCAAAUCCCAUAAAGUUGUUCUCAGUUCGGAUUGUAGUCUGCAACUCGACUACAUGAAGCUGGAAUCGCUAGUAAUCGUAGAUCAGCAUGCUACGGUGAAUACGUUCCCGGGUCU